rnacentral:rRNA from 1 species
UAAUAAAGGUUUUAUGCUAAAAUUUUAUUUGUUUAUCAUAAUUAAUUUAAAAGGUAUUGGCGGUAUUUGAAUAAAUUCUGAGGAACUUGUUUGUUUAAAUUGACAUUACACAUUAAAUUUUAUCUAUAAUUUAUUUUAUGUAUUGCUGUUUAAUUUAUUAUUUAAUAUUUAAAUAAAUUAAAAUAAUAUUAUAAAAAUUAAGAAAAUCAAGUCAAAAUGUAGAUUUUUAUAGGGAUGAAUGAGUUACAUUUAUAUUGAAAUAUGAUACUGUAAGUUAAUUGAAAUAUUAAUGUGAUGUUGGAUUAGAGAGUAAAAAAAAACUAAUUAGUUUUUUUGAAAGUUUUUAUCGAUAUGU